rnacentral:rRNA from 1 species
UACGGGGGGAGCAAGCGUUGUUCGGAUUUACUGGGCGUAAAGGGCGCGUAGGCGGUGCAACAAGUCACUUGUGAAAUCUCCGGGCUUAACCCGGAGCGGCCGAGUGAUACUGUCGUGCUAGAGUGCGGAAGGGGCUACUGGAAUUCUCGGUGUAGCGGUGAAAUGCGUAGAUAUCGAGAGGAACACCUGCGGCGAAGGCGGGUAGCUGGGCCGACACUGACGCUGAGGCGCGAAAGCCAGGGGAGCGAACGGG